UACGUAGGGUGCGAGCGUUGUUCGGAUUCAUUGGGCGUAAAGGGUGCGUAGGCGGCGCGGUAAGUCGGGUGUGAAAUCUCGGGGCUUAACUCCGAAACUGCAUUCGAUACUGCCGUGCUUGAGGACUGGAGAGGAGACUGGAAUUUACGGUGUAGCGGUGAAAUGCGUAGAUAUCGUAAGGAAGACCAGUGGCGAAGGCGGGUCUCUGGACAGUUCCUGACACUGAGGCACGAAGGCCAGGGGAGCAAACGGG
rnacentral:rRNA from 1 species